CGAGAGGAGGCUGGGGGCCCCGGUAGGGGGAGGCCAAGGACAGAUGUGGACUUCCUGGGCCGGGCUUCCAGGGGCACUGGUUGGUGAACUCUGACCUGGGACAGUGUAGCCCUCAGCCACCCACGCUGCCCCUGCCACCAUGCGGUCCUCCAGGGCUGCACUGCUCCUGACCCUGCUCCUGGCGUCCGGCUCCCUGGGCCAGAGGGUUCGGAGGCCCCCUCGGCCCCUGUCCCCCAUCAGCACCAUCCAGCCCCAGGCCAACUUCGAUGCUCGGCAGUUUGCAGGGAAGUGGCUCCUCGUGGCCGUGGCUUCUACUUGCCGCUACCUGCAGGAGCAGGGCCACCGGGCAGAGGCCACUGCACUACACGCAACUCCCCAGGUUGCAGCCAUGGCUGUCAGCACCUUUCGGAAGCUGGAUGGGAUCUGCUGGCAGGUGCUCCAGCUCUACAGAGACACUGGGGUCCCUGGCCGCUUCCUGGUCCCAGCCCAAGGUGCCCGGGGGCCUGUGCACAUGGUUGUCGCAGAGACUGACUACCAGGACUUCGCCGUCCUGUACCUGGAGCGGGCGCAGCAGCUGUCCGUGAAGCUGUAUGGCCCCAUCCCACCCGUGCCGGGGCUCAGGAGCCCUGUCCGCAGCCCGCUCGCUACCUGUGGGGGACUCUGCCCUGAGCGUGUUUGAGCAGUGGGUGAGGAGCGCCAACCUAACCGAAGAGCAGACCUUGUUCUUCCCGGUGUACGGUUUUUGCGAGUCCACAGACCAGUUCCAUGUCCUGAACAGUGAGUGGCAACAGGCGGCUGGACAUGGGCCAUGAGGGCCCUUGGCCCUGCUGAGGCUGCAUCGGUGCCAGAGCGAGGGGCUGAGGCCACACAACCCGUGAGAGAAGUCGGCCCCAAAGCCUCAACGACACCACCACCCUGCCCAGGAGCCCCCAGGCCCGACCCUGGCCCAGCCUUGGGUCUCUCCUCUGCCAGAAGCUGCCCCUCCAUCCCGGGUCCAGUAGGCCUGGGGCUCAUUAAAAGCCAGACUGGGCUCCUG